AUUUGACCUUGACCAUGCGUUUGACAUGCUGUUCCGGAGUGACUUCAAAAACCAGCUUUGUGUGGAGAAAACCUGCCAGAGCCAGAACCAAACAAAAAGUCAACCCUGACAGCAGAGCUGAGACUUUCCCGUUCCUUUUAAUCACAACGUGUUGCAACCAGGGACCCCGAGCAAACAGCCCGGAGGAGGAGGAGGAGUAUGUCGUCUAACCAAGUUGCUCAGGAGCCUUUCGACAAAAAAACAGAUGCAUCUCAUAUGGAAAUGUCAGAGUGCCUCAGAGACUUCUGCUCAUGGUGGGGAUGGAAA